rnacentral:rRNA from 1 species
AACGAACGCUGGCGGCAGGCCUAACACAUGCAAGUCGAACGAUCUCUUCGGAGAUAGUGGCAGACGGGUGCGUAACACGUGGGAAUAUGCCUUUAGGUACGGAAUAACAGCUGGAAACGGCUGCUAAUACCGUAUAGUCCCUCCGGGGUAAAGAUUUAUCGCCUAAAGAUUAGCCCGCGCCUGAUUAGUUUGUUGGUGAGGUAAAAGCUCACCAAGACGAUGAUCAGUAGCUGGUCUGAGAGGAUGAUCAGCCACACUGGAACUGAGACACGGUCCAGACUCCUACGGGAGGCAGCAGUGGGGAAUAUUGGACAAUGGGCGCAAGCCUGAUCCAGCCAUGCCGCGUGAGUGAAGAAGGCCUUAGGGUUGUAAAGCUCUUUCGCUAGGGAAGAUAAUGACUGUACCUAGACAAGAAGUCCCGGCUAACUUCG